CUAUGACAACGCGUGUGUUUUUAGCAGCAGCUGUUUUUCGAGAAGAGAGCUGCCGUGAGGGAAAGUUGAAAAGAACUUUGAAGAGAGAGUUCAAGAGUACGUGAAACCGUUCAGGGGUAAACCUGAGAAACCCAAAAGAUCGAACGAAGAGAUUCAUCGUCAACGGUCUUGGCCAUUGCGACGUGUGUGAUGUGCGCGGUUUCGGCCGUAGCGCACGCCAUUCGCAAUGUACGUUGGGACCGUCGGCGUGCACUUCUCUUCUAGUAGAACGUCGCGACCCACUGAGUGUCGGUCAACGGCCCGUCAGGGAGCCUAUUGCUUCGUUUCACGACGUUAGCUUUAGACCUGUUGCGGUUGCCCGAUCGGCUGCUCGGUGGUAAUGACUCAUGUAUGAUGGUAUGGGGCCGCAGUAAUUGCGUUCAGGCACUUUGGCAGGCCGAUCAUUGUUCUCGCAACGCGGACCUAGCGCCGCGUGCGGGCUUGAUUUGCCGUUGGUUAAAGUUGUCCUCGGACUGGCUCGUACAUAUUCUUCGGGAUAUACUGGUCGGCGACGCUACUGCUUUGGGUACUUUCAGGACCCGUCUUGAAACACGGGACCAAAC
rnacentral:rRNA from 1 species